CCAUUUGUUUCUUCCCUUCCUUCCUUGCCCUGUUUUCUCUGCGGAGGGAAUCAAAGAAAAAGAAACAGAGGAGGGAGAUAGAGAGAGCAAGGAAAAAAAAAAACGUGAGUCUAGUCCAUUCCGAGCUCUGCUGCUUAAACUUGGUCUGAGUUGCACUUCAAUUUCUUGCCCGAUUCGGGAUAGUUGGCCUAAGCUCGAUACCUUGUUGUCAUAUUGAUAUACGGGGAUUAAGGAGACUGAAUUCUUGUACUCUGAAGGCCCUACUCAGUGAGCCAUCUUUCUUGGAAUUGUCGCCAUGAGACCACUGAUCCGGCGGGAUACAAAAAGGGACGCCUAGACUGCUGAUCCGGCGGGAUACAAAAAGGGACGCCUAGACCGCUGAUCCGGCGGGAUACAAAAAUGGACGCUUAGACUCUUACUGCCGGAGGAUAAUGGGCAGCCCCCGCGUAUGGGAAAGGAAAUGAGGAAUUUGUGGAUAUGAGUGCGGGGUCACGGUACCGUCACAACUCUGUUGCGAGGAAAUGCAACCCUAUGGCUAUAUUGAUUGGGGUUGGGGAGACUGAGGUUUUACCUCCGGAAGGCUCGACUCAUUAAGUGGUCGUUUCAGGGGUGUUUAUGAGCUAGGAGCUGGACUAGCCGCACAGGAGGACUU